GUGUUUACUUUGGCAGCACGUAUACUAAAAUUGGAAUGAUACAGAGAAGAUUAGCAUGGCCCCUGCAGAAGAUGACACACAAAUUUGUGAAGCACUCUAUAUUUUA
rnacentral:snRNA from 1 species